rnacentral:rRNA from 1 species
GACAGAGGUGCCAAGCGUUAGGCGGAAUCACUGGGCUUAAAGCGUGUGUAGGUGGAAGCGUAAGUACCUUGUGAAAUCCCACGGCUCAACCGUGGAACGGCUGGGUAUACUGCCUGUCUUGAGCCAACUAGGGGCGAGCGGAACAGACGGUGGAGCGGUGAAAUGCGUAGAUAUCGUCUGGAACGCCAAAGGUGAAAACAGCUCGCUGGGGUUGUGCUGACGCUGAGACACGAAAGCCAGGGGAGCGAACGGG